CUCUGAUAUCCUGAAAUCUCUGCAGCCCUACCUCUGCCAGGAGCAGCACAGGAAUCCACACCCAACUGAUGAGGAAACUAAGGCUCAGAAAGUUCAGGAAACUUGCCAAGAUUACCCACGUGGUUACGAAGAUCUCUACAUCAGAAGAGAAGCUCAGAGCAGCACAGCAUCCUCAGCCCUCCUUCUCUCUUGAAGCAGACACUGAAAGACAGGAGCCGUCUCCAGGCUGGGAGAAAUUUUACCUCAAGAAGCUCAUCCUCUGGCUGCAGAAGUUUCAGUGUAUCAACAGGACCACCUGGAACAAUUGAAGAUAUAUAAUGGUGCCCAUCAAAGGAAUCCACUUCCAUGCCAAGUCUCAGAGUGUGAAUGGGCAGCAACUGUAGCAAAACACAAGCAGUAACAUCAAACAUGACAAGGGCAUAUCCAACUGUUAAUCCCUCUGUCAAGUGUUAUUUUAGCAUGAAAGCCCCACCUCUUAAAUCAGAUCACGAAGAUCCCAGUAGAGGGCAAUAAUGGGAAAACUAAUCACUAAUAAAAUAUGCAACAUUU